AAAGAGUUUCUCUAACUUAGGACUGUUCGGUUAAUAUUGUUUCACAACACACAACAAAUGAGAAAGAUAAUGCAUUGUUUUCAAGAAAAAGAAAAGCUAAUGAAUGGGGCUCUGUUUUAAAAGUUGUUUUUACUGUUUUCAGUCUGAGGGCAGAAGCAGCCCAGUUUCCCUGAAGUGUGUGUGACUGAAGCGUAGUUGCACGUGUCCUCUUCUGCACCUCUCCCCUAGAGAGGCAGUUGGAGAUAUGAGCCAAUUACUGGGCAGCCCUGGUUGUGUAAGGCCACUUGUUGGCAGGAUCGUGUGUAUGCUGGUGUCUUCAAGCAGUUCAGUCUGCAUCCACAGCCGCAGCGGCACAUGUGAUGGUGGCAGUGAUGGAGGAGAGUGGAGAUGCAAGGGCCAGCAGCUGGAUAGACCAAGUGUGUGAGCCCAGGUGCUGCAGGGAUGAACACUGCAUUCCUGUCUGUAUUUCCUGCUAAUGGGCCUUCAUUCUGCUUAGCCAGAAGGGGGGAUUAGGAUGAGGCCGUUGGUUCCGUUGUUAUUUCUCUGAGUGCUGUUUUUGGCGAUGCUUUGUGUGUGUUUAUGAAUGCGGUGUGUGCGUGUUCUCUGCGUGUACACACUUGCAGGGAAUAAGCGCUCAUGCUCGCUACUAGUUGGAUCUGGGGACAUGGAGCUGCAGCAACCUCGCUUCCCUUGGGCUACUGGAGUUGGCAGCAGGUAUGUUUUUGCUGGUUGGUGCAAACGAGAGCCAAGUCACAGAUCAGAAGAAGCAAUAGUUGAGCCUGCUAUCAUUCAUAACAAAAUGCACAGUACUGCUCUGAAUUGCUUCUUACUUUGUGAAUGCUCUCUCUUGUAUUGCCAUUCCAAAUGGCACCUAAACAGUCUGAGAGUGGUGUUCAGUCUGACCAAAAAUAAGGAAAAAGUGAGUGCUGCACAGUGUGUACAGUUUGCGUUAUCUGAUCUUCUUUAUAUCCACUUUACAGAACUGCAAUUCAACUCUGGUCUCAAGGGAUGAGUUUUUGGAUAUCUGAAUGCUUAUCUUCCUUCAUACUGCUUUGGUCAUUUCCCCAACAAAAAUGAAUUGUCGAUAGCACCUUAACACCAAAAUUAGAAGUGUAUAAGUCAUGAAAAAAAGUACUUUAUUAUCUCCUUUUCCAACACUGCCCUUCCAAAUAUAUGUUUAACCCCUGCAAAACAGAGAUUAUUUUUUCAUCUGUAUCACAAUGCGACUGAUUCUCAUUCCGGUCUCUGGAUCAUAUUAUCCUAUUCUCCCAUCUGAAAUGUUGCAAAUAGCAAAUAGCACGGUCAGAUGCAGGACUGGGAAUGACCCCAUUGAAAGCACUCACAGAAUUCUCUUUGACUGGAGUCCACUGUAAGUCGUUAGAUAGUAUGAACCAUCUAGCUCUGUUAUGAUGCAGUUGAGUAACAUGGGGAGAAAGCUGCAUCAAGAACUGCUGUGUGAGAAUAAGGCCUCUAGGCCUCUUUGAGUUCUCUUCCUUGCCUUGUGAGCUGUGAAAGCUUUCAGACCCUUGCCUGAGCUAUGUUGUAGGCAUCCCUUCACCUGGCGAUCAGUGAUCCUGACCUGCUGACUUGGUUUCAGGCCUUGACUUCGGACUGCUUUGCCACUACGGAUUUGUCUGACAACCACUGGACUGCUGGCUGAAGCUGACUGCUGUCACCAGCCCUGAUUCUGACCAAGAGCUUGACUCCACCUCAGAUCAUUUCCCAUCGUUUUAGACUUGCCUUGUGACCUGUUCAGUGAUCCUGAUUACCGUUACCAGAAUGACUGCUCACCUUGCUCACCUACUGUUGGGUUAUGUUCCUCUGUGAAGGCACUGCCCUCACUGGUCUUAAUGCUGUCGCCAUCUCCCAGAUGACCUUCCCUUGUGGAGUAGUCUACCCUUGCUGUAACCUGGCACAUAUUCUUCUCCCACUUCACAUAUUCUUCACUGUUCUUCUCCCAUGUUUUCUUCCUGCUUUCUUCCUAUUUUUGAUGCCAUUGACCUUUCUGGCCUUCCUAGCACUUCAUACCCACUAGGCUUGAAGAUGGCUUCUCUUGUUCCAGCUCAUUUCAAGACUAUUCUUUCAGUUUUCAUGAGUCUUCUUACUGUUUUCCCACUCUCAUUAUUCCCCAGGGCAGUGUCUAUAGCCUUUUGCUCAUCUUACAUUAUGUUCUUUCUCUUUGCAAUUUCAUCAGCUGACACAUCUUCAGUUACUGUCUCUAUCCUAAUGACUAAUAAAUCAAGCUCAGCAUCAUUAAUUGUUCUUGUAAUAUUCCCUCUCUGUUCUUCUCUUGAAUUAUGUCAUUUUAAAUUUCUAUCAGUUUUAAGAACACUUGUGAAAAAGAGCUAUCUUUCUUUCAAAAAAUGUCAGCAUCUCUUUACUUUCCAAAAAAGUCUUUCUGGAUACUCAGGUACUUAAUCUCAGCGUAGUUUUACAGUUUUCCUUCACAUUAUUCUUAAAGGAAAAAGAAAAAAAAAAAAAAUCUCCUACUUGGGAAUCUUGCUGUUUCCUCUUUUCAACAUCUCUAGAUUUCUCUGUUUUUCAUUUAUCUCCACUGCCUCAUCUCAACUCAAUAUCACAGAAUCAUAGAACGGUUUGGGUUGCAAGGGACCUUGAUGAUCAUUUAGUUCCAUGUCCAGCUUUCCAUCCAUCAGGACUCCCAAGUCCUUGGCGGGGCUUUUCUCAAGGAGUUCAUCUCCCAGUCUGUAUUCAUGUCUAGAGUUGCUUCAACCUAAGUGCAGCACCUUGCACUUGGUCUUAUUAAACCUCAUUAGGUUCUCAUGGGCCCACUUUUCAAGCCUGUCCAGGUCCCUCUGGGUGGCAUCCCUUCCUUCUGUACUGACCGCACCACUUAGGUUAGUGUCAGCAAACUUGCUCAGGGCACACUCAAUCCCAGUCUAGGUUGAUAAAGAUGUUGAAGAGCACUGGUCCCAAAGGCAGACCUCCUGGGGACACCACUCAUGACCAGCUUCCACCUGGACGAGUUUUCCCUUUUCAUUUAUCAGAGGGGAUAUGCCCUCCUUUGCUUGUCUCUUGUGACCAAUGUAACUAAAGAAACCCUUCGUGCUUCCCUGUUCAGACAAACACGAGGCCUUCCUGCUGUCUUUAUGAAAGGCUAUAGAAAGAAACCCUUUGAAAACUGUUGAUUUGUAAGUGUGCCCUUGCCAUGACAUUGUCCUAUCUGAAUUCUUCCACAAGCUCUCAGUUCUCUUUGAAACCAUUCAUGUUUUUCAGAGCUCAUGUGACAUGAAUCUACUUCUUAUGUAAUAUAUAUAUGUAUAAAUAUGGUCGAAGCUUGCAUCAGGUAGACUACCUACUUACCAAAUUGAAGAAAUACCCGAGCUCAUCAUAAAUUAUCCAUGUAUCAAGAGAAGUCAGCUAGCACUAGUCAAGUAGCACCAGCAAUAGACUCGUUUUAGAGUCUGUGUUGAAGGCAAAAACCCAUUUAGCAAGCACAAGAUAAAGCUCACCACUCUAAGUGUACAAAGAAGUUGUCUCCUGUUAUUGUUUCUGUUAUAUUUAGGAAGAUAGGAAAAAAAUAAAGAUUCGAAGGAUUAAAACUUAGCAGUAUUACUUGUGAGAAAACAAAGAUCUGAUGAAAACUAAGAACACAAUCAGGACAAUAAUUUUCUUAAUAUUUGUAGCAUAUCAAAGCAGCUCCUAUUGGAGUACCAGAAGCCAAAAGCGCUAUGGUAAAGCAGACUGAUAGAGCCAGUAACAUUUUUGUUUUGUGGUAUUAAGAUGUGUGUAAAGCAGAUGUUUAAGAACAAAAUCAGCCAAUGAACACCAAGCAAAAACACCACAGUAGUUAAUGAAUAUUAUGUAAAAAAGGAAGGAGAAGCAAGGAUGUAAAAACAAUUACAAUCCCAUUUCCUGCAGCAGCAGCGGCUGUUUCCUGCCAUCAUCAAGGUGUACCAUGGGUGUGUAAGGGUAAGUGCUGUGACUGACUUAAAUGCUUACUGCAGUCUCACAGGCAAAUUCAGCAAAACUAUUUCUAAUCCAUACCGUCAGACUAAAUCACUUUCUUUGUCCAUCAGGUCAUGGACAAACCUCUUUGCUUUCAUUUUGUUUUCAUGCCGCCAUGGAAAGAUUUGAAUAUUUUUUCAGACAGGCUGUGGGCUAUAGAAAACUCAAAUGUUCAUCUCCACAGGCACAAUUAAGGCUCGGGGGAGAGCUAAUGAUGGAAAUUCUCUCUCAUUCCCGAGAAGUGUCAGUGUGAUAUUGCCCGUUUCUGGUAAGGAAAAGCAAUAAAAACAGCAUUAGGCUUGAAGAACAGACCUUGUUAAUAUCAGUACAUCAGACCAAUAUAAAAAUAGUCCUUAGAUGCUGCAAAUGGGUUUUGUGUUAAUGGAUAUAUUGCUUACAAAUGAAUAAACUUGUUCUUUCAAGCUCAUUUUUCUUAAUAAUUCUCAGCACAUUUUCCUCUUGCUUUAGGCCUCCCUAAACAAUGCAGAACCAGCCAGUAUAUCCCUUCCCCUCCUGGGUCACUUCUGGUAUGAGGAAGACAGGCACAAUAACUUCCUGUGUUUUCUUAAGGCUUUCCCUGGUUGGCUCAGACAGAAGGCCCUCAUUGUGCAGUUUCUCGCUUGAAUAAAGCAACCCACGGAAAGCUAUAUAUUAUUGCCAUUAAUACUGCUGCUUAUACACAAUUUUUGUGUUAAACAAAUGGGGGGAAAGAAGUAUAUGUCAGUUAAAACAAGAUAAGAAUUUAGGUCAGAACUGGAACCGAAGUGAUUAGACCAACCUAUGCAGAAGAGUGAGCUCUAACUAGAAGAGCUCGGGGAAUUCACCAGAAUGCCCCUGUAAGUGCCAUAUGGGAUGUAAUCACAUGCUGUAGUGUGAUCACAUGAAGGCAUCCUAUGCUGAGUCUUCAGUAAUAGCUGGCAGCAUGCAACUGAGGAAGGGUAUGAAGCUGGUACAGCUUCAUACGGAACUCACUCCAACACAUAUCUCCACCUCCUUGCAAGCCCCAACCAAAAAUUGUACUGAAAACACUGCUGAGAAGUUAAAUCCAGCUCUGUGUUACACUGUAAAGAGAUCAAACCAUUGUGAGCAAUGUGGCACAAUAACAUGGAUUUUAGACAACACAAAACUAUGAAUAGGUAGGCAGGAAAUGGUAGUGUUUACUUUUAAGAGUAGGCAUUUUUGCUUUAGUAGUGAAUGUGCAUCUGCAUGGUUUGUACAUAUAAGGUUACAUAUAUAUAUAAACAAAGCAGAGAACGCAGAUUAUUGCAUACUUAGGUUCAGAAUAAUUUUAAAUCAAAAUCUUCCUACAUAAAAAGUAAUGUGAUGGCAAUAUUAAAAAGCAUUUAGUACAUUUCAGGUCACAGAUAAACUUCCAUAACCAAAUCAAAACCCAGAAGCCCAUACAGAGCUCCAGAAUGAUCGGAGGCACGGUGUUGCAAGAGAAUCCCAUUUCCUAAUGUGGUAAAACUGAAAAGGUUCUCAGGCUUUUCUGAUUGGGUUGGACAACUCUGACUUCAAGCUGCCUCUGAGCACCAUGAAAAACACAGGACAAGUAUUCUAAGGCUUUCCUUUUAGGUUACUGCUUCUCAGCAAAUAGAAAGUCUUUCCUACCUUAGAAACAAAUAAAUAAAUACAUCUGAGUAAUAAGUACUUCAAAGUUUUAAGUGAAUCAAGACAAUGGUCAAAUUGAGUAAAUGGUUAUCUAACUUCUCAGAGCCUGACUGAGCUGUCUUUUUUUUUUUUUUUUAAUCUAAUCUAAAUGUAUUUAUUAUCGUGAUUCCCACAGCCCUGUGAAAAUAAUCGCCCUUCAACUAUUCUGACAGAUAUUUGUUUGGUUUGUCGCUGUGUGUUACUUGGUUGUUUUGGUAGCACUUCAGCCACAAGUCAAUAUAGGCAGUGCUGACACCCCCCUCACUGCUCAGGGCCUCUGUUAUUUCUGACUGUGGACACUUCCAGCAGUUGUUCUCAUAGCUGCCACAGAGCAAGUUCCACGCAGCACACCAAAUGUACACAGAUGUAUUCCCAGGGGGGUGAACAACGUGCCUGUCCAACCUGUGUGCUUCAAGGACUGCUUCAGGCCUGAGGGAGGUCCCCACGUCGCACUGUCAUCCAAAAUCUGUGAAGAAAACUCUGACCCCAGUGUGGUGUUAGAAAGCAGCAUUCCUUUAUUCCUCCCGAUACGCCGGGUGACUCGACAAGCAAGCACACUCUUUUAGACUUCAGGUUCUACAUUGAGACAGUUAAGAUAUACAUAUGCAGUACAUAGGCAUACAUAUUCACUCUUCUUCAAGGACUCGUUAAUAUAUGCUAAUGUCCCUUUGGGCACGCUCAGUAGUAUCUAGGGUGGUGGAGCGCCCACCUACUUCUUCCCCAUUUUCCACCAUCAGCUUCAUCACUGUGAGCCCUCACUAACUUCCAGCUCCCCAGUUUGGAAAGUUCCCAUCGCUUAUUAGGCCAUAGUGAGCAACUUUUAAAACAAUAGUUGUGGAAUCUGAGGAAGACAUCCUUGCACUUAUUGAGGCAAAAGACAGAAGCAUGCUAUGAUGAUUUUAGCAUUUCUUGUGAGGCAAAAUCAUUGAUUCAAAAGAUAAAAGUAUUCUAUUAUGUCCCCAGUGCAAAACUGUUGAGGAAAGCAAGACUAUAUGCCUAUUAAAGCUGAAAUGGAAAGUUUUAGAACCAUCACUCAUGGACUCCUUUUGCUACAAUCAGUCAGACUGGUUCUUGAAUGCACUGCUGCUAAACCAGCCAACCCUAUCAGUUACCACGCCGGGAUACUGAGCGUUCCGGCGGCCCCUCGGGUCAAUACGUGUCACAGCGCAGUGAAGGCGGGAGGGGCGGCCCCUGCGUGACACCCGGCAGGGCGCGGGGGCUGAGCGCCGAUGGCGCGGCUGCCUCGGGAGCGGCUCCCAGUUUCUCCCUCAGGUGAUUUCCUCCGCAGCUCUCCCGCUCAGACUGCCCCACAACAUCUAUCUCUGUAAUUCGUCGGCCGGGAGCGCGCACGUCUCCGCCGCGCGGCACGCAGCCCUCCGGCUCCCGCCGCUGACCGAGGCUGCCGCGGGCGCUGAGGUGGCGCUCCAACGGCUCGGGCGGGCGCGAGCGCAACGGCCGCCGCCUGGCGGGCCCUGGGGGGAAGCAGCGGGUAGAGUUCUUCCACCACACCUGACCUGAAGCGUCAGCGCCACAGAAUCCCCUUUUCAAGUGCAGAGGAUGGGGAGAGUGCUAAGCAUGACUUCUGUAGUGGAAUAUUCUGCCGUUACGACCUGCUUGGAUCAAGCAUAAACUCAAGAUUCAAGGAGAAGCUUGAGAUACAACAGUAGAGUGUAUUUUAGCUGAAGCACAAUUUAACUGGUGCUCCUUGGGAUAUACAUAACGUUCUCAUUGAGGGUGUUCCACUCCAGUGAGGGAGAAAUCAUCCCUGAGGAAACAAACAGAAAGCCCAUCCCUGCCAUAGGGUCCAUAACAACCUGGGGUAGCAUUUGCACAGCAGGCUGGGGAAAGUGAGAGCAAAUGCUAGGGGUCAGUGUUCUAAAAAUACAUAUAUAUCAACACCCGCAGCUGCGUAUGUUCACUACAUUAUGUAUUUUCUAACGCAUAAACCAUGAAACCAGAUGAAUACGAUAAAGGGUACUGACACUGAACCACUUGUCAAAACACAUUGACGGUGUAUUUGUACUUCAUAAUUAAUACAGUGAGUAGCAUAAUCAUUAGCAGACUACUAGGCUGGACUAUUGUUUAAGCAGUGAGCUUGCAUAUAAAGUGUAUGUAAAUAUGUAUCGUUGUAUGGUCAAGUCUUUGUGGGUUAGGCAACACCAUAAAUGAAUGUGCUCGCUAAAUGUUAAUUCCUGCUGCUUAUCCGUGCUUUACACAUCUUAAAGUCCCAUAGAAAAACUAAUAUGUUAUCAUGUACCUGAAAAUUCUUCACUGAACAAGACGGGAAACCCUCAAACAGCAGCUACGAGUUGCUUCAUUCUGUGUUGAUACACACUGAUAUAAUGUUGACAUACAUUACACAACUUUGGAAAUGGAUUAUUAAUUCCUCAUGACUUUUUCCUCUUUACAGUGCAAGUCACCGCCACGAGUACUUUACAGAUGUGAAAC
rnacentral:lncRNA from 1 species